rnacentral:tRNA from 1 species
UGCCCAGGUGGUGGAAUGGUAGACACGCCAGAUUUAGGAUCUGGUGCCGCAAGGCAUGUAGGUUCGAGUCCUAUCCUGGGCAA